AAUAGAUACCCCGGUAGUCCACGCCGUAAACGAUGUCGACUUGGAGGUUGUUCCCUUGAGGAGUGGCUUCCGGAGCUAACGCGUUAAGUCGACCGCCUGGGGAGUACGGCCGCAAGGUUAAAACUCAAAUGAAUUGACGGGGGGCCCGCACAAGCGGUGGAGCAUGUGGUUUAAUUCGAUGCAACGCGAAGAACCUUACCUACUCUUGACAUCCACGGAACUUAGCAGAGAUGCUUUGGUGCCUUCGGGAACCGUGAGACAGGUGCUGCAUGGCUGUCGUCAGCUCGUGUUGUGAAAUGUUGGGUUAAGUCCCGCAACGAGCGCAACCCUUAUCCUUUGUUGCCAGCGGUCCGGCCGGGAACUCAAAGGAGACUGCCAGUGAUAAACUGGAGGAAGGUGGGGAUGACGUCAAGUCAUCAUGGCCCUUACGAGUAGGGCUACACACGUGCUACAAUGGCGCAUACAAAGAGAAGCGACCUCGCGAGAGCAAGCGGACCUCAUAAAGUGCGUCGUAGUCCGGAUUGGAGU
rnacentral:rRNA from 1 species